ACACUCCUGCGGGAGGCAGCAGUGGGGAAUUUUGGACAAUGGGCGAAAGCCUGAUCCAGCAAUGCCGCGUGUGUGAAGAAGGCCUUCGGGUUGUAAAGCACUUUUGUCCGGAAAGAAAUCCUUGGCUCUAAUACAGUCGGGGGAUGACGGUACCGGAAGAAUAAGCACCGGCUAACUACGUGCCAGCAGCCGCGGUAAUACGUAGGGUGCGAGCGUUAAUCGGAAUUACUGGGCGUAAAGCGUGCGCAGGCGGUUUGCUAAGACCGAUGUGAAAUCCCCGGGCUCAACCUGGGAACUGCAUUGUUGACUGGCAGGCUAGAGUAUGGCAGAGGGGGGUAGAAUUCCACGUGUAGCAGUGAAAUGCGUAGAGAUGUGGAGGAAUACCGAUGGCGAAGGCAGCCCCCUGGGCCAAUACUGACGCUCAUGCACGAAAGCGUGGGGAGCAAACAGGAGUAGAAACCCCAGUAGUCCCA
rnacentral:rRNA from 1 species